rnacentral:rRNA from 1 species
UACAGAGGGUGCGAGCGUUGUCCGGAAUUAUUGGGCGUAAAGAGCUCGUAGGCGGUUUGUCGCGUCUGCUGUGAAAACUCGGGGCUUAACCCCGGGCCUGCAGUGGGUACGGGCAGACUAGAGUGCGGUAGGGGAGACUGGAAUUCCUGGUGUAGCGGUGAAAUGCGCAGAUAUCAGGAGGAACACCGGUGGCGAAGGCGGGUCUCUGGGCCGUAACUGACGCUGAGGAGCGAAAGCGUGGGGAGCGAACAGG